CAGGGCAUUGCGGAUUUGUUAGAUGGAUGAGUUCGGCCACGUUUGUUGAUAGCGCCACUUCGACGAGUAGUUGUGCGCUUUAGAUGAUGUGAAAUUGUGUGAGUUGUUCGAUGAGAAAGUUGACGGAGAUUGGUUGUGACCGAAAACCAGUAUUAUAAAGGUCAGAUUUUAAUUCAGUUCAUGAGUUCUUGUUUCUAUUACUCGUUGAUGUAAUCAAUUCAUUUUCAUCGAGUCCAUGCUUUUCUCUGUUCCGAAAAUAGGGAUGUUGUGUUCCAAAAUCUUGACUGUGAUUGUGUUCAAAAAAAGUCGGAAUGUUGAUAAUGGUUUCUCAGUUGGUCAAAAAAUUAUGUAUGAUCGACUUGCUUUCUUCCUUGAUAAAUAUGACCCUCUAUUCGGUAGUCAACUUAUGUUUAUCUUCA